CACGCCACGCCACGCCUGCUGCAAUGCUUGUGCCCAGUGCAAGUGAGCCCUACACGCCCUGCAGCCUCCGGGUCACCCACAUGCUCGGGCUUUGCAGCCUCUCCCACGCGGCUCCAGCGACCUGCGCCAGUCGGGCACAGAGACACUGGGCAGAUGCGGCAGGACCGUGAGCAGCCCUCGGGCCCCCCCAUCCAGGGUCACAGGCCUGAGCAGGAAGGGGUGGAACCGGCAGGGAAACAGCAGAGAAGAGGUUACGCCCGGGACCCCCAUCCCAUCCCAUCCCUCCACAUGCAGGGCUCAGACCGGCCUCCAGCUGCCCAGAUGGCUCGCAGCCAUGAGCUGUAACGCAAUUCUGCAGCACAUUUGGUGGAAUAAAUGCAAAGAGCUUGUUACAGCGAGUUAGAUAAGAGAGAAGGGAACGCGGCUCUUGCAGGCUAAUUCGGAAUCUGAUCUGCCUUCUCCCCGGCUGUGAAGGACGACGCGGGACAGAGCGUUUCGCGUAGAGGAGGCACCGGGGGCUUCUGGGAGCCGCGUGGGGAGGACACGGCCCAGAUCGCAGCCCAGGCGCGGGGGCGGGGGGAGAGGCUCCUGGCUUUAGCCGUGCGGGGGGGACAUCCUGCCUGGCGCUGGGCGUGCCCACCGUUCACUGCCCCUGCCUGUAGACUGCGCUACAUCGCAAAGCAGAGUGUGCUGUCACCAGGGUGCUGCACACUUGCUCGCACGCCUCUCCGCCUGAGCCCGCCUGCAGGGCGGGAGGACAGUAGGGCACGCGGGCCCUACCCACGGCAGCCCCGCGUGGGGUUCACUGCCCACAAGCGGAGGUGUGGGGCGCACAGCUGCUCUGUAGGGCUGUGGUAGCAUCUGCUUGCAGCCACGUGGGGCAGCACUCGCAGCCCUGGGCUCGAGGACGGCGUGGCCCCAGCACCACGCAGGAGUGCGCAGGGGGCUUGGCCACGUUCCCACGCCCGAACAGCCCAGGUCAUACCAGAGUGUGCAGCGCUCCUGCCCGGGGGCUCGCAGGAUGGGGCCUUGGGGUGCUCCAUGCUUGGACCGUGCAGAUGCCCCAGGUCAGGGCACGUGGCUGGCGUGGGGCCUGGGGGGAUGCUCGCUCAGCAGGAAGCACCACGGAAAGGCAGCUGCAGAGUGCCCUGCACGUGGAGCCUCUAGCGCAGCAGUGGUCCCCCCGCCAGCGGCCACGCACCUCCCUGCACUGGGGACGUACGUGGGCUGUGGCUGCCCUGGGCCCUGGGGGUGCCGCCCACCCUCACCCGGUACGGCUAUCGCUGCGCUCACGCCACGCUGCGGCCAGAGAAAAGCCUGGUGAUUUUUUAUUUACUUAUUCCCAGCUCCGGCAUCCUGCGGGCAGUGUGCCGCGUGGCGUGCUCAUUUAUCUCCAUUUCCCCCUCCUGCCGCCUGUCCCCAGUUUCAGGCAGAGCCUCGGAGGGGAGAGCCUUAUCUCUCCGGCACUCGGAAAAUAAUUGCGGCCUCUCCUUGUCGAAGCCCUGACAGCGCUCCUUCGUGUCAGGGCGGGCAGCCGGCAGCGCGGCCAGCCAGCCCACGCCUCGCCCCAGGUCACGCCGGGCGUCCCAUCCCUCCAGCCCCGGGCUGCCAGCCGGCUCCAGGCUCCCCACGGCCCCCAGCCUCACCUCCCCGCAGGGCAGGGAGGGCUCUCCAAGCCUGGCUGUGGCAGAGGAAAGGGAAUACCAGCCCCACCUGGCGCCUUGCCUGCACAGCCUCCUCGCUUGGACACCGGUGCCUGCAAACUCUAGGUCCACGCACACGUGAGAACGUGCACAUGCAGGGACACACAGUCCCCAGCACGCAGCCCUGCAGGCAUGCAGGCCUAGCCCCCAGCGGAGGCUCAGCCAGCUACCCCCGUGCCCCAGUGCCGGGUCCCUCCUGCAGCCCCGCUGCCCAUGUCCACCCAUCCAUCCAAGGAGGAGGAUGGGUUCAGACUUUCCUGCCUGCAGUGGCUUCUUGCUUCAGUGGCAUUGCCUAGGACCAGGUCCCCAAGGCGCUCAGCGCAGUCUCGGGGCCGGUCGGGGAGAGGCAGGAGCCAGCUGCUGCUCCACCAGGACCUGGUGACCGAUGGCGGUGCCAUGCUGGGGCAGGACGGGCGUCAGAGGCGCCUGCCGCUUCGCCCGUCCAGCCCCGCGCUUGGAGCCUGGGCAGCAAACGGCUCGGGCAGGGGCCCGCGGCUGGAGACCCGACCCCCCACCCGGGAGGCCACGCUACCUGCCCCAGGCUGCCACGGCCCUUGGGGAGGCGUGCCGAGGUCCCCAGAGCCCCGUCCCACAUGCCAGCGCCUGGGCACCGCUACCCUGCACGGCGGGCUCUGGAGCGCGGCGCGUUUAGCAUUCAAGAGAAAGGAAGAUGAAAAACUAAGUUCCUUAUCUCAAGGAGCCUAUAGUGCCAGCACGGAAAUUCAGAGCGUCUCGUUGUCCAAGGUUAAAGAGUGAGAGCUGAGGCAUGAAAAGGCAGGAGAUAAGAUGAAAUGUUUUCUGUCCAAAUGAAUGGGCUCCACUCUCCUCCGUAAUAAACGAUCAGUGUCAAUAUGACAAAUUAA